AGAAUCAACGCUGGCGGCGUGCCUAACACAUGCAAGUCGCACGAGAAAGGGGCUUCGGCUCUGAGUAAAGUGGCGAACGGGUGAGUAACACGUGACUAAUCUACCCUCGAGUGGGGAAUAACUGAGAGAAAUCUUAGCUAAUACCGCAUAACACUUACGAGUCAAAGCAGCAAUGCGCUUGGGGAGGAGGUCGCGGCCGAUUAGCUAGUUGGCGGGUAAUGGCCCACCAAGGCGAUGAUCGGUA
rnacentral:rRNA from 1 species